rnacentral:rRNA from 1 species
GAUGAACGCUAGCUACAGGCUUAACACAUGCAAGUCGAGGGGCAGCAUUAUCUUAGCUUGCUAAGAUAGAUGGCGACCGGCGCACGGGUGAGUAACACGUAUCCAACCUUCCGGUUACUCGGGGAUAGGCUUUCGAAAGAAAGAUUAAUACCCGAUGUUGCGUAUCUUUCUCCUGAAAGAUACGCCAAAGGAUUCCGGUAACCGAUGGGGAUGCGUUCCAUUAGGCAGUUGGCGGGGUAACGGCCCACCAAACCUUCGAUGGAUAGGGGUUCUGAGAGGAAGGUCCCCCACAUUGGAACUGAGACACGGUCCGAACUCCUACGGGAGGCAGCAGUGAGGAAUAUUGGUCAAUGGACGGAAGUCUGAACCAGCCAAGUAGCGUGAAGGAUGACUGCCCUCUGGGUUGUAAACUUCUUUUAUACGGGAAUAACAUGAGGUACGCGUACCUUAUUGCAUGUACCGUUAUGAAUAAGCAUCGGCUAACUCCGUGCCAGCAGCCGCGGUAAUACGGAGGAUGCGAGCGUUAUCCGGAUUUAUUGGGUUUAAAGGGAGCGUAGGUGGGAUAUUAAGUCAGCUGUGAAAGUUUGGGGCUCAACCUUAAAAUUGCAGUUGAUACUGGUUUCCUUGAGUACGGUACAGGUGGGCGGAAUUCGUGGUGUAGCGGUGAAAUGCUUAGAUAUCACGAAGAACUCCGAUCGCGAAGGCAGCUCACCGGGCCGGAACUGACACUGAUGCUCGAAAGUGCGGGUAUCAAACAGG